rnacentral:lncRNA from 10 species
UGCGAGACACUACAAUUAAGGGGAGAUAGAUGGCAACUCUUCUAAAAAAGGAGAAUAAGGGAAUCAAGGGCUUUCACUGUGGUUUCAUGAAGGAUUAUUCAAAGAUCUAAAGGCAAAAAGAGAAGCCCUGCAGGGGAAAUGGAAAAUACAGGUCAGAACCAAAGAGAUGAGAGAGGAGGAUAAGGACAGAAAAAGAAUGUCGGAGUGUGUCCUUGAGGGUUGGAGGAGGCUCCGUGCAAUUGUGUUCUGUCCUAGCAGAAAGAAGACUUGGUAGGAGAAUUGCCCUUUAAUGACUAUAUCCAGCUCUCAACUUACUAACCAACUCCUUAAGUUCAUUGGUUGGAGAGCUGAGGCUGGGCCAGAGACCAGACAUGCUCCUGGAUCCAUGGUAAUGCGCAAAAGAAAUUGAGUAUCUAAAUCAGUCUUUCCCCAAGUGCUCUAAAUAGGAGAGAGAAAUGUGUGUGUGUUGGGUAAGUGGGGUUGGGAGAAUGGCAGGGGUUAUGCAUGAAACAUUCCUGGCCUAAGAGUGAAAACAGCCUGGGUUCUUCUCUUGUCUCUGCUACUUACUAGCGUAUGACCUUGGACAAAACAUUCUCUCUCCAGAAUCAUUGUUUCUCUCCACUUCACAGAGAGGUCACUCUCUUCCUAUCCUGCAGGGCUGUUGAUGAAGAUCAGCUGGUAAAGAUCAACAUGUGAUCUUCACAUGAAAAAAUUGAUUAUAGAACCUAAUCCUUAAAAAUGUGAUUUUUAACUGUGUCUAACCAGCAUUUUUAAUAUCUGGGCCUUUGGAAAAACAGAGUUCAAGUUCAAAGGUGGGAUGAAUCAAUGGAAUCCUGGGCCCAGACCAGCAGCCCAGGAUCUGCUCAUAAAGAUUAACAGGUGAAAGUGCUCUGCAAACAAUAAAGUGCAUCCCAAAAUAAAGAACUGAUGAUGAUGAAAAGACGAGAUAUGCAAAUAAAUAGGGAGGUUAAUUCCACAGUGACCCUCUGUAGGAUGCUAGGGCUGUAGUUUUCUGAAUAUAGCUAGCUGUAAUGCCUAGCUCAGUAGUCUACAUAUGCAAAGUAAUCAGGAAGACUGAGAAAAAUGUAUGUACAAUUGACAUUCUUAAUAAAAGGAAAAAGAAAGAGUUAGGGAAAUAUUCAAUGAAAUAUGAUACAAAAACAUUUUGCAGCCUGAUGCAGUGGCUCACAUCUGUAAUCCUAGCAUUUUGGGAGACCAAGGUCAGAGGAUCACUUGUGACUGGAAGUUAGAGACCAGCCUUGGCAAAAUAGUGAGUAUCUAUAAAAAGUGAAAUAAAUUAGCUAGGCAUGGUGGUGCACACCUGUGGCCCCAGCUACUCGAGAGAAUCACUUAAGCCCGGGAGUUUGAGGCUACAAUGAACCAUGAUUGUGCCACUGCAGUCUAGCCUGGUGACAGAGCGAGACCCUGUCUCAACAACAACCAAAAAAACCAAAAAAAAAAAAAUGACAACAACAAAAAGUUUGAGUUGGAAAAUUACAUCUUAGUUCAAAUGUAACUUUCUCAGAGAAGAUUUCCCAGAGCUACCCACAGCUCUCACCUAUCUAUCCAUCAAAAAGUUUAAUCUCUCCUUAAUAGCUUCUAUCACAAUGGGUAAUUAUAGGUGUAAGACAUGUAAUUUAUUUGUUUAUGACCUGGCUUUCCCCACCAUCUCCAUACUACAAGUUACAUGACCACAAGACCAUUUUUGGCUUGCUCACUAAUGAAUACCCAGAACCUAGUACAUUACCAGCAAUGUUGUAGCAAUCACUCAAUACAUAUUGGUUGUGUGAUCAAAUUAAUGAGUACAUAAAUGAAUGAAUAAAUGAACAAUUACUGAAGACAUGAAUGCAUACACACAUACAUAUGUUCCAGAUCAUAACAGGAGAACUGAAUCCACCUGGCAAUUCCUUUCCUGCAUGUGUAAUAAUAAAAUAAGUUGGUUUUGUAUUCUGUUUUAGCAAAGACAGCUUUCCUGGUGAAACAGUUCAGUACCUGAUGAGAAGGGCUGAAGUGGGCUGUGAGCUGCUGAUUUUGCUCCCACUUUUCAUUCAAUCUUUGUCACUGGCACAGGUGCAAGCAAGUCCUGCUUGACUAGCUAAACCUGUCAAGCAAAACCCUACUUAAUUACAGGCAGAGAACCCUGGCACACCAUUUGCGAGUCUGUCUUUAGACGGGUUUGUCCAACAAAGUCCAAAUAUGUGUGUCUGAUGCUUUACUCUGGCUGAUUGGUCUGCAAUGGGAGGGGCUGGAGCCUGCUGGAGAAUUGAAAAUUAAGUUAGAGUGAAGGCCAGCCAUACAGCUCUCUCCCUACAAAUUUCCAAGACGUGGGUCUGCCUCCAGUGACCAUGUAGGACAUGAAAACCAAGGAGUGCUAUAUAGAACGGCCAGGCAUAGAUGGAGAUAAGGCCUGAGGGAAGGGCACUCAACCUGGUCUCCCAAAGAGCAUAUUCCAUCUUUUUUCAAUAUGCCCUAUUAUUGAAAAGAGUUCUGGUUUGGGAGUCAGAUAUCCAAUUGAUUUGGGGCUCAUUUACUUACUGUGUUAUUUACAAUUUUCUGGUUUUCCCAUUUGUAAAAUAAGAAUAAA